AUUGAACGCUGGCGGCAGGCCUAACACAUGCAAGUCGAGCGGAUGAGGGGAGCUUGCUCCUGGAUUCAGCGGCGGACGGGUGAGUAAUGCCUAGGAAUCUGCCUUGUAGUGGGGGAUAACGUCCGGAAACGGGCGCUAAUACCGCAUACGUCCUGAGGGAGAAAGUGGGUGAUCUUCGGACCUCACGCUAUCAGAUGAGCCUAGGUCGGAUUAGCUAGUUGGUGGGGUAAAGGCCUACCAAGGCGACGAUCCGUAACUGGUCUGAGAGGAUGAUCAGUCACACUGGAACUGAGACACGGUCCAGACUCCUACGGGAGGAAGCAGUGGGGAAUAUUGGACGAUGGGCGAAAGCCUGAUCCAGCCAUGCCGCGUGUGUGAAGAAGGUCUUCGGAUUGUAAAGCACUUUAAGUUGGGAGGAAGGGCAGUAAGUUAAUACCUUGCUGUUUUGACGUUACCAACAGAAUAAGCACCGGCUAACUUCGUG
rnacentral:rRNA from 1 species